rnacentral:rRNA from 1 species
AUCAGUAAGCGGUGGAAAGCAAACUAAACAGGAUUCUCUUAGUAACUGCGAGUGAACAGAGAUUAGCCCAACAUCGAAGCCACCAUGCAUUUGUAUGGGAGGCAAUGUGAUGUUUUGGUGUUUGAACGCACUGUCUGGCUAACUUGAAGUCCAUAUUUGACUGUGGCUUGUAUUUAUACACCCAGAGAUGGUGAUAGGCCCGUUCAGGUUGGUAUUCUGGCAUGACAGUUCAGUGUGUAAUCAUUCAUCAUAGAGUCGGAUUGCUUGAGAGUGCAGUCCAAAAUGGGUGGUAAACUCCAUCUAAGGCUAAAUACCUGUACGAGUCCGAUAGUCAACAAGUACCGUGAGGGAAAGUUGAAAAGUACUCUGAAGAGAGAGUAAAUAGUACGUGAAACCACAUGGAGGUUAAACAAAUAGAGUCAAGCUGCUUGCAUCAUAUCAUUGCAAUAUGCGCAUUUUGUUGCAUGACAUUUGCCGGGACCUGGCGUGUGAUUCUGUCUACUUGUAGGCAUUUGAACAUGUGUUUGUUGUUGAAAGGUCUCGGUGAGUGUCUGCGCUUAUUGUUCAUGAUGGGUGCUAAUGCCAUAGUCGGUUGUACUACCAGUGCGCAGUAAUCGGCGAUUGUGCGGGCUGACUUAUUGUCGUUCGUGCAAUCAGUGAAACAGUUGGCAACAGUGUGUGCUUGCAUUCGCUUUUGUCAAAGAAGGCCACGGCCUGUUGAUUACUGUGAACAUUGUGAGAGUCGACCGUUCAUAUGUGCUCAUAUAAUUUGUGGUAGUAAGUCGACUUGUCGACUACUUCCAUAAAUGAGCUUAUGAGCUAUGGUAUUGUGGUAGACUUUCUAUUUG